GGAAGAACGGCAUACUGUUUUCUCAAGUCCUGGGGUGCUGUUUUUCGAGGGUGUCGUGAAGAUGUCAUACAUCCUAGUCUCUCUGAAGCAGCAUUGCUUUUCCCACCGAGAGAUGACUUGCCUGAAAAGUAUGCCGGUCAGAUGGAAGGGUUAUGGUUUGCCGGAAAGAAUGUUGCUACAAGGAGAUUUGUAUUUGGUGCGAAAGUCAUAUCUUCAAUUCAAGAUGAAGCGAAGAGCGAGUCCGUGCCCAAGCCAUCACGAGUUCAGGCCGUCACUGGUUUUCUCUGGAAACAUCUAAUCGCUGCUUCUCGGGCACUAACAUCAGGUAAAAUCAGUUUAUCAACAAGCCAAAUAAUAAAGCCUAAUGUAUUUGGGGUACUUAUUUAUAUAUUUUUAUUACGUAUAUCUAGUGUACUGUGUACAUAGCUCAAAGAAUGAGAAAAUAUAUGAACUUGCAGGUACUACUUCAACAAAACUUUCUAUAGCAGCCCAGGCAGUGAACAUAAGAUCACGGAUGAACAUGGAGACGGUGUUGGAUAAUGCCACUGGAAACUUGAUGUGGUGGGCACCGGCCAUACUACAGCCAAGUCAUACAACACCAGAGAUUAGUGAUCUUAAGCUGUGUGACUUGGUUAACUUGCUCAAUGGAUCUGUCAAACAAUGUAACGGUGAUUACUUUGAGACUUUCAAGGGUAAAGAGGGAUAUGGAAGAAUGUGUGAGUAUCUAGAUUUUCAGAGGACUAUGAGUUCUAUGGAACCAGCACCAGAGAUUUAUUUAUUCUCGAGCUGGACUAAUUUUUUCAAUGCACUUGAUUUUGGAUGGGGGAGGACAUCAUGGAUUGGAGUUACGGGAAAAAUUGAAUCUGCAUUUUGCAAUUCCACAAUGUUGGUUCCAACACAAUGCGAUAAUGGAAUUGAAGCAUGGGUGAAUCUAGAAGAAGAGAAAAUGGCUAUGCUAGAACAAGAUCCCCAGUUUCUAGCGGUAGCAUCUCCAAACCCCCCAAUUUCAAGGUGUUGAUUAAAAAAGAUUAUGUGGCUCGUGCAAUGUUUCGAUUUUGUAGUGAAUAAGGUUUAAAUUAGUUCACCAGCCAAUCAAUAAGAUGCAAGUAUGAUAGACUCUGUCUACGUAUGUUAUCCGAAUGUGUUUUCGAUAUGCUUGUAACCAAUAUAGCUCUUGUUUGUAAUAAUGCUCUGUUAAGCUUCUAUCUAUAAAGUUAUUUCUCUUGAUUAAAGAAAAAACUAUACAAGUUUUGUUAAGCUUUAUUCUAUUUUUAAGAUAGGAUGUAUGUAGUACCUAUAAAGAUGGUUCACCUAUUAUUAUUUUCAAAUACAUGAUUAUCCGGUACAAUUACGUAGAAUAUUUCUAUAGCUAAAAAAAUGUAAUUUUGAUCCGUGACAACAUGAUUAAAAAAUUACAUAUUCUGAUACAUUUGUUCUCUAACGACAAGCAUGGCCAUAAUGCCUCACCUGAUCAUCUAUGUGAUGGGGUAGUGUCCUUUCUUUUUAAGAGAAGGUAGGCACCUAAUGUGAAGGCCUCUACGAGAGACUAAUAUUGUCUGAUCUUCUUUUGUUCAUCAAAUUAAAGAAACGAAAAUGGCCACAAUGCCUCACUAUUGAUAGAAGAUAGAACCAUACAAUAAUUUGGAACAUAUGCAUGGAGACAAGGAAAUAUAACACAAUAAAACCAUUAUAAUUUCACUUUAUGUGGGAAACUUGGCCAAAACCGAAUCACAUCCACGUUGGCAACAAAAAGUGACUGGAAAAAAAGAGCCCCCAAAAAGCUAAAACACUAUAAAAACCAGAAAACUUGAAUAAGCGAAAAACCAAAAGUAUGACAUUUACACACACACUCUAUCUCUCUCUCAAAGUCUGAAAACUUGCGCAAUAAGGUACCUAGCUCUCUGGUCUUUUCUUUCUAAUGCAUAUAAGUCCCUGUAAAUUUUAUGGCUUUUGGAAUGAUGAUUUUAUGCUUGUGGAUCUCAGAUGGGUUUGUUUUGUUUUGGGAUUUUUAUAAAUGAAUCCAUUGAAAAUGUUGAAAGCUUAUGCCUUUGUUCCUUGGUUCACUGUUCUGGUUUUGUAAAUUGUGUGUACGAGAGUUGAAAUGUUGGUUUUGGUAAAGAGAAAUGUUCUAUAACCAUGUAAGUUAUCUUCUAAAGUUGUUCGAGUACUGCAUAGGAAAUAACGACCUAAACUGCUAGAUGCUCUGAGAAACUUAAUUAUCCGAUUCGUUGUGAUAAAUUAAUAGAACCAUCAAUAGCCGUGAUAGUCCCUUAAUAUUUGGUGGCUAAUUAGCAAUGCAUUCAUGGUAGUUGCAUGUGCUUAUUUUGUGCAGUAUUCUAAUUCUAUCACUUGCAAAAUCGUUGUGGAAGGUCAAGAGGAGAAAACUGAAAAUGGGGCAGCAUGCAUCUCAUUUUAUUUUUUUAUGCAAUAGAGCCCUAUAUAUAAAAUAAAUAAUGUAUCUAUAACCUUCUCUAAUUAAUUUACUUAGUAAUUGACGCAAUUUGGCCGAACUGUUUCUAAACACACUAAGCUUCAGUUCUAUAUAUACCACGUACCACAUGUAUGAAUUCAUCAAGUGUCUGAUAAUACUAAACCUACUUCGACAAAAUGGAGAAAAUUGAGGUCAGUAUAAUUUCCAAACACACCAUCAAACCAUCAGCUUCCACUCCACGACUUCAGCCUUACAAGCUUACCCUCCUGGACCAGCUCACUCCUGCAAUGUAUGUCCCCAUGGUAUUCUUCUACCCCAUUACUGAUCCUGUCUUCAAUCUUCCUCAAACCCUAGCUGACUUAAGACAAGCCCUUUCCGAGACUCUCACUUUGUACUAUCCACUCUCUGGAAGGGUAAAAAACAACCUAUACAUCGAUGAUUUUGAAGAGGGUGUCCCAUACCUUGAGGCUCGAGUGAAUUGUGACAUAACUGAUUUCCUAAUGCUUCGGAAAAUCGAGUGCCUAAAUGAGUUUGUUCCAAUAAAAACAUUUAGUAUGGAAGCAAUAUCUGAUGAGCGUUACCCUUUGCUUGGAGUUCAAGUCAACAUUUUCGACUCUGGAAUAGCAAUCGGUGUCUCCGGCUCUCACAAGCUCAUUGAUGGAAGAACGGCAGACUGUUUUCUCAAGUCCUGGGGUGCUGUUUUUCGAGGGUGUCGUGAAGAUAUCAUACAUCCUUGUCUCUCUGAAGCAGCAUUGCUUUUCCCACCGAGAGAUGACCUGCCUGAAAAGUAUAUAGCUUUGAUGGAAGGGUUACGGUUUGCCGGAAAAAAAGUUUCUACGAGGAGAUUCGUAUUUGAUGCGAAAACCAUAUCUGCAAUUCAAGAUGAAGCGAAGAGCGAGUCCGUGCCCAAGCCAUCACGAGUUCAGGCCGUCACUGGUUUUCUCUGGAAACAUCUAAUCGUUGCUUCUCGGGCACUAACAUCAGGUAAAAUUAGUUUAUCAACAAGCCAAAUAAUAAAGCCUAAUGUAUUUGGGGUACUUAUUUAUAUAUUUUUAUUACGUAUAGCUAGUGUACUGUGUACAUAGCUCAAAGAAUGAGAAAAUAUAUGAACUUGCAGGUACUACUUCAACAAAACUUUCUAUAGCAGCCCAGGCAGUGAACAUAAGAUCACGGAUGAACAUGGAGACGGUGUUGGAUAAUGCCACUGGAAACUUGAUGUGGUGGGCACCGGCCAUACUAGAGCUAAGUCAUACAACACCAGAGAUUAGUGAUCUUAAGCUGUGUGACUUGGUUAACUUGCUCAAUGGAUCUGUCAAACAAUGUAACGAUGAUUACUUUGAGACUUUCAAGGGUAAAGAGGGAUAUGAAAGCAUGUGUGAGUAUCUAGAUUUUCAGAGGAUUAUGAGUUCUAUAGAACCAACACCAGAGAUUUAUACAUUCUCGAGCUGGACCAGUUUUUUCAACCAACUUGAUUUUGGAUGGGGGAGGUCAUCUUGGAUUGGAGUUACAGGAAAAAUUGAAUCUGCAUAUUGCAAUUCCACAGUGUUGGUUCCAACACAAUGCGAUACUGGAAUUGAAGCGUGGGUAAGUCUAGAAGAAGAGAAAAUGGCUACGCUAAAACAAGAUCCCCAGUUUCUAGCGGCAGCAUCUCCAAACCCCCCAGUUUCAAGGUGUUGAUUAAAAAAGAUUAUGUGGCUCGUGCAAUGUUUCUAUUUUGCAGUGAAUAAGGUUUAAAUUAGUUCACCCGUCGAUCAAUAAGAUGCAAGUAUGAUAGAUAUGUUAUUCGAAUGUGUUUCGAUAUGGUUGUAACCAAUUAAUAUAGCUCUUGUUUGUAACAAUGCUCUAUUAAGCUUCUAUCUAUAAAGUUAUUUCUCUAUUAAAAAAAAAACUAUGGAAGUGUUACCAAGCUUUGUUCUGUUUCAAAGGUAAGAUGCAUAUACUACCCGAAAAUAAUGUUCACCUAUCAUAAUUCUUCCACAUGAAAACCCGGUAAGAAUCACAUAAAAUAUUUCUAAUACUUUAGAAUCUAAUUUGGGUUUGUGACAACAUAAUUGAAGAGGUACAUAUUCUGAUACAUUCGUUAUUUAACGACAAGCAUGUACAUAAUACCUAACCUAGGAGGAGGGUGUACGUAGUGUUCUCUCUCCUUAAGAAGGCCUGCCUUUCGCGAAGGCCUCUUUCAAAGGACUGAUAUAAUAUAAUCUUCUUCUUUUUUUAAUCAAAAGAAACGAAAAUGGCUUCAUUGUUCAUAAUUUGGAAUAUAUGGUGGAUUGUACGGUGUUGUUUUGAGGGAGCUUCUCUCUCGGGUCAAGGGUUUCCAAUGGAUUUGUGCAAUGAGAUUUGAUUGGCAACAGUUAUUCGGGCAUCAACGCUCCAAUUUAGCACUCCUCAGUCCUCACUACCUCAUUGUUGUUGACGAUGGCGAUGACGACAUUAGCGAGCAUGGGUGAUGUGUGUGGCAUAUUUGUUUGUAUUGUUGCAUUAUUGCUUUCGGAUGUAAGGGCUUCGCCCUAUAGAUUAGCGAGCAAUUGGUCUCCUCUCAUUCUUUCUACCUUGAUCGAGUUGGAGAUCCAUGCACUUUAUUUGUAGUACUUUUUUUGGCCUCGCGUUUGCAAGCUUUGAAAUUCCCGUGAUUAAGGAAUUAUUCAUUUUUUACAAAAAAAAAGAAGAAGAUUUUUUCCUGAAAAAUAACACAACAACCAUCAUAAUUUCACUUUAUGUGGGAAAUUUAGCCAAAUCCGAAUCACAUCCACGUCGGCAACAGAGAGUGACUUGAAAGAAGUGCACCCAGAAAGCUAAAAAACCAUAAAAACUAGAAAACUUGAAUAAGGAAAAACUAAAGUAUGACAUUCCAAUCUAUUGUUUUAUGGUUUUUGAAGGAUUCAAAUUUGUCAACCACUUUUUACUUGACCACCUUAAUGACCACUAUCUAGAUUGGUGAUACGUGUCUUUUCAAAUUAUUUUACUUUAUUGUUUUAUUGUUGAUAAAAAAAAUAAACAUGUGUCACCAAUCUAAAUAGUGGUCAUUGAGAUGAUCAAGUAAAAGUGGUUGACAAAUUUGAAUCCAUUUCUUAUUGCGGUUUUGUUCUGCCAAAUCCAAAUCCCAUGACCCAAUCAUUUACACUCCCUCUCAAUCUCUGCAAAACUGACUGCUUCCCUUGAAAACGUGCGCAAUAAGGUACCUAGCUCUCUGCCCUUUUCCUUGUAAUGCAUUCAAGUCCCUGUAAAUUUUGUGGUUUUUGGUAAUGAUUUUAUGCUUGUGGAUCUCAAAUGGGUUUGGGUUUGUUUUGUUUUGGGAUUUUUAUAAAUGAAUGCAUUGGAAAUGUUAAAGCUUAUGCGUUUGUUCCAUGAUUCAGUGUUCUGCAAUUUGUGCCUUCUCUUCCGGAUCUGAUGUACGUGAUGUUCUAGCUAGUUGUCUUUUGGAUUGAAAAGAUAUUAUCUUUUGAUUGUUUUUGAUAGAACAUCAACAUCAAUCAUCAAUGAGAUGAAUCUGAAGUAGGUUAUUAGUUUGGAGAUAUGUUAAUGGUUAAUGAAUCAAGCUGAAGUUGUUCUGGUUAUUGGAGCAAUAGGUUCCAUACUGAAGCAUCUAAUUUUGAAUUUGCAAAGAGUGGUUGACGAGUUAUCCUUGGGAUUGGCGGGUGACAUUGAAAAAGUCUUGGUUUUGUGUAUAAGAGUUGAAAUGUGAUUUCUUUACUGUUACCAUGAUGUGGGUUCUACUAAAAGACUCGUUCUUGAAUCUGGGGUCAUGUCCUGUGAUGACUCAAUUCUUGCAAAACACAACUGAGAUGUGUCAAAAUGGGUUCGGGAGCGUCUUUAUAUAUCGAAGUAUCAUGAGUUUCGAUACUAAGUGAGGGUGCUGGAUAGAAUUGAGUUUGGAGGUUCAAUGCUUCAAAAACAAAGAAGCUAGAGGGAACGUAAUUCUUGAUGAUUCAAGACGGAUCAAUGACCUUGUAAUUAAGUUGCUUAUGUGCAAUUGUUGAGCUUAUGGUGUUUCCAGUUUGGAUACGGAUAGCUAUUUCUGUUUUCAGUAUAACCACCAUGUGUUGCAUCCUCUUACUCUUCAUCUUCAUUUACCUAUCUUUGAUCUGAUGUUCCAUUGGCAGAGCUCCCUUAUGCUAAACUGUAAAACCUGCAUUCCAGGUGGUCAUUCUGUUAGAACUUUGGAAGGUCUCGGAAAGGAAACACUCGUCGACAAAUUUUGGGAGCAGUUGCAUAAAAGGAAUGGUCUCCCAACUCGGAGAUAAUGGAGACGCGUACUGGAAAUUCCCGUCCCAAUAAAAAGCAAUCGUCGGAGAAGUCUAAAUCUGCCACUGAAGAGAAAAGGCCUGCAGAAAAGAAGCAAACACUUCUGUGUUUGUCAACUAUGGUAAGUUCAUUAGAUAGUAAGUACUGAGUUUUCUAACAUCGGUGUAACACCAUGCAACUAACUCAGUACUGUAGAAUAGACAUCUAUGUUAGUCUCUUUAGAUAAUAUGCACACUUUAACUUUUCAAAUGACGUCCUGCAUUAGUUAGUCAACUGUUCAAAAUCUCGUAGGUUACAAUUUUCCCAUCUCCAAAACCAAGUGUCCAUAAUCUUUUUCCCUCUUUGUUCACUAAACUAGUAAACUCCUCGUUUAGAUUAAUGUUCUAAAUCUUUUAGUUUUUGUUCCAUCUUGACAUAACUUGUGGCUCAUUACCUACGUUGCAUGGAAUCGGAAGCGGAAACGUGGAAGCGAAGCGUUUGGAAGCGCGGAAGCGAUUUUUUUGAAAAUAAUUUGGAAGCGAAAGCGUUUUAGAAAUGUGAGAAUCAAAAUAAUAUAUACAAAUAACAAAUAUAUAUCACCUAAUUUUAAUUUCAUUCAUUUAUUUUAAUCGUUAAUUUUAAUAAGUUGUACAAAUUAGUUUGAUUGUUUAGCAGAUAACAACUCAUUCUUAAAAAAAAAAGAUAUCACUAAACCUUAUAAAAAUAAACUUCUUCACUAAAAAAAAGUCCACCAUGAAAUAUUGAAAGCACACGUCUCUCUAAUCUCUACACCUUUUAAUCUUCUUUCUUCACCUCUCUAUGCUCUCUCACCCUCCAGGUUGCCGUCAUCUUCUUUAACUUCAUUCUCUCUCACUCCUCUCCCUCCCUCCAGUUUCAAAUCCUUUCUUAACAGGUCCUCAAGCAGAAGAUCUGAUUGAUUAUAGAUUUCGAAAGAGAUAGAGAGAAGAUUGAUGUGCCGCUGAAUCAGUUCUCGUGCAGUGGACCAUCGCGCUUCCAAAUCAAAAUCGUGAGCUUCCAUAUUGGAAGCAUGCGCUUCCGUCGUGCUUCCAAAACCCUCUUUUCCCGGAAUCACGAUUCCGGGCGCUUCCGAGCGCUUCCACGGCGUUUCCGCUUCGCUUCCGCUUCGGAAGCGGGCGAGUGGCCCGGCGCUUCCGUGCUUCCUAGCUCAUUACUGCCCUGUAAACCAACUACGGCCGAGUUGUACCAAAAGGAAAUUCGGCCUCUCAUCAAUGAGUAAAGGUUUUUUUUUUUUUUUUCUUCCUUUUGUGGGGGAAGAAGAAGUAUGCAAUAAUUUUGGAAGUAACAUAUCCCCUAUCACCAUUCCUUGCAACAAGCAAUUACUUCUGGCAUUUUGUGGUUGAUGUUGAUCAUUUUGUAACUUUUGUUCUUUCAUGAUAAUAAAGCUAAUUUCUCAUGUAGCUGCAAUUGCUUGGCAUGAGAGUAGAAGAAAGUGGAUAGGGGAUCAGCGGCUGCAAAGAAUGGCCAAGGAUCCAAUUAUAAGGUAUUUUUUCCUCACAAAGGUUCCUGGAUAGAAUGGGGUUAGCAAGUCAUGGUUAAAGAGUUGCACCUUAAAGUUUAAUAACAAAAGAAAAGUUGGAGAGCAUAACUGCCAUAACUUAUAUUCUUUGUAGGUACAAAUGAACUCAUUAACACUGGUGUGUCAGUUUUUAGGAAAUUACACUUAUAUUUGAGUAUCUGUCACUCUGUCCACUACUUGCACCCUGACUUGCUGAUCUGUAAAUCCUAGAUUUUUCAAAAUUGCUCCUUUAGUCCUUUUGUUUGGUGUGUGUCCAUAUUAGUAGCUUUGUCCAUUUAUGCUGUUAAAUUGUAGCUGCUAUAUGAAUGUCAGGAAGUUAAAUGUGAAAACUAUAUGCUGCAUAUUAUAGCACCAUUGUAAUGAUUGAUGAUAUUAGUGUCUUUGUCCAAUUAUUUUCUGUUCAAUUAUUGCUACUUCUUGAAGAUAAUGUGGAAAGUUUAUGUUUCAGCUGGUCAACAGCCUAUGAGGAUCUACUCUCAACCAAUGAGUGUUUUUCUGAGCCGAUCCCCUUAACUGUAAGUCGAUCAUAUAAUAGCACAUACCUGUCCAAUAAAUAUCUUCUGAUAAGUCAUAUAUCUCUAUUACUUGUGUUUAUUUGACAUUGGAAAUAUUUUCUAAAGUUUGAUGUUUUUAUAAAAUUGGUUUUAAGCAUGUUUUCAUACUGGAGCUCCACUUUAUGUUUUCAAAAGUCAUGGGUAGUUUUCUUGAGCAGCGAGGACGAAAACUCAUCCCUACAACAGUUUGUGGAUGCAUGUAUUGUGCACUGGGACAAGAUAAUGGCGAGGAGUUGGGUGUGCAUGUUUGUGAUCGGUAAUUUAUUUUCUAUGCUUACAUGUUUAUUUUUAGACUCAAGUUACAUGUUUAAAUUGUAUUCUGUUGGCCUUGUUAUAAUCUCAUCCGUGAUUCUAUUAAUGAAGCUUGUUAAUUACUGGCCAUUCCUUAUAUCAAGUUUUAUACGAACAUAAGAGUCUAAUCCUGAUAUGAUUUUGUCUUGUGAGACUCUCAUUGCAAUUUGUAUUCUUUUGAGUUCAUUAUUUCUUAACGUUUAUUGUGUUAGGUUUUAGACGAAUGACUUUACCUUAAGCAAAUUAAAUAUUUUUCUUUUACAUACACCUCAAAUAGUUUUACGCUUCCGUGGUGUUUGCUUAAAUGAUUUCUUAAAUAAACUGUCUUGCGUUUCUCUUGGUUUUUAUUUUAGAGACAUGCGGCACUGUGACGUGUCUAAACUAAGGAGGCGUAGUUUGGGGCGUUACAGAUUUAAUCUUUACACACUAUGAGAAUAUCAAAAUAUCACGAUAUUUGUGCAAAACUCACGAAAUCUUGUUAUUAAAUCAGCCGAAGUCAUCAUAUAUAGUCAUUAACUCGGGCCAAACUUAUAAAAUUAACACUAAAGUCUUGGCGCAGCUAACAUGAUUUGAACCCAGGUUGCCACAUGUUUGUAACAUCCUGAAAUUUCAAAUUUUUAUUUUUAAAAGGAAAGUUAUUUUUAUUUCGAUUUCUAUUAUUCUUUUAAAUUCUUUAUAGUUUUUGAAAAUUAUUCAAAUUUUGUUUUUGGAGCCCAUCGGAUUAAACUAGAGGCCGUGAUGAAUUUGUGGGAUUUUUCGGAACACCGUUUGGAUAUCGGAUAUAUUUUUAAUGAUUUUUAGAAGUUGGUAUUAUCUAAAAAUUUAAUUAAAAAUAGAAAAUCAAGGUCGGUCAAAUUUGGUCCGUCCAGAUUAUAUGGGUAUGGAUCAACUUGGACUUCAUUAUACCCAGUCCCAGACCGACUCCGUCUCCAGCCUCUAUCAGCGACGGAGACCUCCGGUCACUCCUCCGUUGUCCGGCCGUCUCCCGCCGCAAAACGACUGUCUACAGCUCUGUCUCGACGUCCCCGACCUCCCUGGGAUUCCAGCUUGAUGAGUGGAGCUCCGGAAAAGGAGGAGAGAAGGCGACUGUGUUUCCGAUCGGGUUUCCGAUUCCGGUGACGGCGGCGAGCGUGAAUGGUACUGGAAGCAUCCUCUCGUCCUCGUGGUCUUCCCUAUGUCCUCAGUUUCUUCAGAAGAGGUCGGGAGAGAGAGAUUCGAAGUGGAGAAGGAGAGGCUGGGUUCGCCGGCGAGUUUCCGAUUCCGGCCAAGUCGAGGUUUCUCACUGGUAUGAAUAGCUUCAUGUCGGUCUCGGGAACCUUUCCAUGUUGGUGGUUUUCGAAGAGAAGCUCGGAGGAGGGAGAAUCGAAGAGGAGAAGUUUCUGAAUUUUCCGGCGAGGGUUCGACGGAUUCCGGUGAAGCUUGAUGUCGACUCAGGUAUUAAAGUUGGUCUAUUCGAUGAGCUUUACAUGUUUCUAUAAUUGAAAUUGAGAUUGGUUGGGUGUUGGAGAAGUGGGAUUUUGGACAGGUUGUCGACCACCGUGUACGGCGGCGGCGGCGGUUGUUCUUGUAGUUUCUGGCUUUUGUUAAUACAUUGAUUGUGGAGGAGUGUUUUGAGAUGUAUUAGAAUUGCAGGAACAUGAGAAUUGUAUGAAGUUGGGUUUUGAGCAGUGUGGUGUGUGGCCACUGUUCACGGCGGCUAUGGUGGUGUUUUGAAAUCAGAAGACUUGUGUGAGGGAGAGGUUGAAGAUGUGUAUUAUGUUUGGUAUGAGUGUUCAUUCAAUUGGCUUUGGUAUUUGAGAGCAGGGUGCUACGAAUAUCUUGGUUUUGUGAUCAAAGUUGAAGUAAAGCAUAUAUGUUUGUAUGGUUGUGAGAUAUGGUGGUAACUGCAGCAAUGGAUAGUUGAUCAAGGUUCACAUGAUCUUGGAACAAAUGUCCAGUCGAUAACUUUAAGAUGUAAUUGGUAUUGCUAUGCUUGAACAAUUGUGUUUCGGUGGAUUGAAGAUUUGCCGGAAGGUGUGUAGUAAGAUGGGUGUCCAAAGUAAUUGAUGGAGACUGGUGUGUUCUCUUUUGAAUUAUUGUUAGAGAAAGAUGAUUAGAGGAGUUGGGUGUAAUGAACGUUAAGUUGGCUUUGCUGGGUUGUUGUGGAGUCUUAAGAGCAGUAUGGGUACGGGAACAGAAGAAUUGGAUUUUCAUUACUUUCAUAUGGAUUUGAUGUGUUGCUGGGGAGUAGGAAACAGUAAAGGAUUUAGGUUUGGUCAUGUCUGGGUUCGUUGAUAAGUUGUUAUGCCUACAAUUAAGACAUGAGAAGAUUGAUCAAGUUUGAGAUAGGCAAAUAUAAAGGAUUUAGUAGAAAAGAGGAAUUGGGUGUAGAGAGUAAAUUCGGUGCUUAGCUUGGUGCUUGGAGCAUGGUUGGGAUACGACUAAUUAUGGGUGGCGUGUGAUUUGGUAAUUGUCGGAAAAGGUGAGCGGAAUUGGAAAUAAAGAUUUUGAUCGUUUCUAAUUAAAGUGUUUGCCGACUUUAUUGGAACAAGGAUUUGAUGUGAGGGAGCAUGUUGCAAUCCGAGGAGCAGAAUGAUAAGGAUUUCAAAAUGCGUGCCGCGGUGUUAUUAAUUUUAGUAAGCGUCGGAGUCAAGGCUUGGAUUCCAGGUAGGGUCUCUCUCAGGGAACUUUUCUUUAAAUUGAUAAUUAGGUUAUUGUUGAAAUCGGUGCAUUGUGUGGCAUUGGUUGAUAUAACUCUUGGUUGUUAUCGAUUUUGUUAAAAGCAUGUGAUAUCGUUGAUUUAUAUGAAAUUAAUGUUAUUGCUUUCCGUAAAAGCAUGAGUUGAAUGUUAUGAUAUGAGUAUUGAUAUUCAAUUGACAUGCAUAAUGCAUUGUGAGGAAUUGUGAGAAGUGAGAUUGGUGAUUCUGGAGAUGAGAAAGAGAUUGAUAGAAUAGAUACAUUUUGUGUAGUUGAGUUUCCUCAUGGGUUGUCCAAGAUCCAGGGUAGUCCACACGUGCAUAAGUUCAGGGAAUGUAUGCCAUUUCGAUGGCGGACAUCGACAAAACAAUUUUAUCGGGUUUCGGGUUUGGAGACCAUGAGUAUAACAAGAUGAUUAACAAUAGAGGUACAAGCCAUAAGAUAUUACUGAUUAUUAGAUCAUAUAUUUGAGACAUUUGUGUCACCCCCGGUUGGUAAAAUACACGGUAUGGGACGUGUAGGCUCACAUAUCUUUGAUGUAUGGACUGAUAGCCAGUAAUUGAGGAAGACAUUCAUUAGCAUACAUGUAUCAAAUUGUCGUUAUUUAUUUAAAGUAUUAUUUGAUGUUUGAUAACUUGUUUGUGCGAUGUAGUUAAUUAUAACUUAAAAAGGUUUGGCUCUUUGGCCCUACUAAGCGUAAGCUCACCCCUAUAAACUUUUGUUCAGGUACGUUUGAGGACACGUUUUUCUAGAAGCGUAACUGUGAAGUUUAGCUGACGUGUACGAGAGUAGAAGAGUUACAGAAGAUUAGAAGUCAGAUAGAUCGUAAGGGCUUAUCUUUUUGUCUUUGUAAUUGUUUUUUGUUAUUGUAAACGUUUUAUUUUCUUUUAUUUCUGGAAAAGUAUUUGAAAUUGUUUUAUUUUCUUUUACUUUUCCCGCUCAUGUCUCGGGUACGGCGUCAGGUGCUUGGAAACCACCGACACCGGGUCCGGGGUUUGAUGUAUGGACUAGCCAGUAAUUGAGGAAGACAUUCAUUAGCAUACAUGUAUCAAAUUGUCGUUAUUUAUUUAAAGUAUUAUUUGAUGUUUGAUCACUUGUUUGUGCGAUGUAGUUAAGUAUAACCUAAAAAGGUUUGGCUCUACUGAGUGUAAGCUCAUCCCUAUAGAUUUUUGUUUAGGUACGUUUGAGGAUACGUAUUUCUAGAAGCGUAACUGUGAAGUUUAGCUGACGUGUACGAGAGUAAAAGAGUUACGGAAGAUUAGAAGUCAGAUAGAUUGUAAGGGCUCAUCUUUUUGUCUUUGUAAUUGUUUUUUGUUAUUGUAAACGUUUUAUUUUCUUUUAUUUCUGGAAAAGUAUUUGAAAUUGUUUUAUUUUCUUUUAUUUUUUCCGCUCACGUCUUGGGUACGGCAUCAGGUGCUUGGAAAUCACCGACACCGGAUCCGGGGUGUGACAAUGGUAUAUCUCACAUUCUCAACCAAUCCUCCUAAGGUGAUACUUGAUUACUACAUUGAACAUUUUAUUAUAAACUCUACAUAUAUUUUCAUACUUUUAAAAUUUCUUUUCGAAAUUUUAUUAAUAUUGAUAUUUUCUAAUAUUUUUAUCAAAAUAUCUAUUUUUCAGAUAGUCAAAAUUUUCUUGAAACGUGAUAUUUUUGUAAUAUAUCGAAAUUUCAAAUUUUUAUUUUUAAAAGAAAAAUUAUUUCCGAGCUAUUUUUAUUUCGAUUUCUAUUAUUUCUUUCAAUUCUUUGUAGCUUUCGAAAAUUAUUUCAAUUUUUAGUUUGUCAAAAUUUAUCUUUUGAGUCCAUAGGAUUAACGGAAGCGUUUUCGGACAUCGGAGCUAUUUUUAAUAAUUUUUAGAAGUUAAUAUCGUCUAAAAAAAAAAUAUUUUUAAACCCGCUUGAUCUGGACCGUUGGAUCAUUUAAACCGCAAGAUCUGGGCUGGGGGAGACUGGAUCAGAUCAGUUCAGACCCAGACUGGGUCAGCCUCGAUCCAAAUAGCAGCGACGGGUGACCGGACUGCCGCUUUGUCCUCCAGCGACGGCGUGGGGAAAUCAUGGCAGCUUCGGCUUCGUCUCGGUCGCCUGAUCCUAUCUGUGGUCUCGAUUUCGUCGAUGGAGCUUCGAUGAGAGAGAAUCGAAGAAGGGUAGCUUUUUCUGGGUUUGUCGACGAGUUUACUAUUUCAGCCACGGCGGCGAGCAUGAUCGGUCUUGGUAGCUUCACCUCGACCUGUUGAACAUUUCUUUGAAGAGAAGGUCGGAGGAGGGAGAAUCGAAGAGAAGAAGUUUUUAGGUUUUAGGCAGUGUUCUUGGUGUUUUCCGGCGACCUCGGACUUCAAUUCAGGUAUCAAAGUUGGUCGACUCGUCAAGCCCUACAUCUCUAUAUAAUUGGUUUUCAUUUUUGAUUAAGUUUUGAAGAAUCGAAGUUUUGGGGUUUUACUGUGCAAUUUGAGUUUUCCUGUUUGUGUGGUGAUUUUGGUUGCCUUGGGGCGUUCUUCGAUUGGAAUUGACUUUAUGAAGUUGAUUUGAUGAUCUUAAGCCCUUGAAUUACAUAAUUGGAAAAGUUGGGUUUUGGGGCAGUGUUGUUCGGCGAUGGAAGUGGUGGUUGAUGGUUCUGGGUUUGGUUUAUGUUUUAGAUGAAAUUACAAGAGCAUUAGAACUUAAUUAUGUUGUUGUGUCGCCUGGAUUCCAUAAACGGAGAAGUUGAGUGUAAGAAAAUUAGAGUUAUGCAAUUUGGAAUUGAGCUAAGAUUGGAGUAGAUGAUAGUAUCGGGUUUUCUGCUGAUUUUGGUUUAUUGUUUGUGGUGGUGACUGCAGUAUUCUUGUUCCAUUUCCAAUCAUAUGAAAGUGCAGGAACAUGAAUUUGGAUGCUUGAUUGGUAAAAGAUGAGUUUUGGGUGGUAGGAAAUGGAGCUGUGUUAUUGGAAUAGGGAGGGGAAGAUGGUUGUGUAUAGUACUAAUACUGAACUUGGCGGAGUUGAAGGAUGCAACUAAGAACUGUUGAUUUGCGAUAUGGAACUAGGAGCUUGAUUUCAAAUGGAGAAAGUGAGUAUUGGCAAGUGCAGGAGUAGGACAACUUGAGAAGUAUAAAUUGGCUAAAGAGCUUAUGGGUGUCCUUAUCAAUUUCAAAGACUGGAUUGCAUCGACUUGAAAUCAUCAGAGUGAAUAAAUGCGGAUUAAGGAACUCAUCUGGGUGUCUUAGUAGAUUUAUGAAUUCGGUCCGGUUGACUUAAAGUGACUUAAAUUUGGCUUAAAGUGAGUUUUGCGGAUUAAGGAUUCAGGGUGUCCUUAGUAAUUUUAAGAACAUGAUCAAUUUUGGAAAUUGAUUUAGUUUAUUUGAGGUUCGACGGCUUUCUCGGUAAGGAAUUGUGACGAGGAUCGAGUGACUAUCGACUUUUUCAGAAGCAGAAGGAUAAAGAUUUCAGAAUGCGUGUCGCUGAGUUAUUAGUUUUAAUUAGCGUCAGAACUAGCGCUCGGAUUUCAGGUAUGGUCUUUCUUGGGGAACCUUUUUUUAAAUUGAUAAUUAGAUUGUUAUUGAAAUUGGUGAAUUGUUUGUCAUUGAGUGAUUAACUCUUGGAUGUUACUGCUUUCUAUAAAAGCAUGUGUAAUCGUUGAGUUAUAUGAUUGUUAUUAUCGCUUUUCUUAAAAAGUAUGUGUUGGAUGAUAUAAUAUGAGUAUUGUUAUUCGUUGCAUACAUAAUGCAUUUUGAAGAAUUAUGAGAUUAGUGAGAUUGGUGAUUAUGGAGAGGUGAGAACGAGAUCAAAAUAUACAUUUUGUACAGUUGAGUUUCCUUAUGGGUUGUCCAUAAAUCUAUGUCAUCCCACUUGCGCAAAUGAGUGGGCAAAGUAUACUCCUUCGAUGGCGGACAUCAAUAAAACGAUCUUUCGGGUUUCGGUUUUGGAGAGUAUGAGUAUAACAAGAUGACUAACAAAAGAGGUACAGGUGAUGAGAUAUUACUGAUUGUUAGAUCAUAUAUUCGAGACAUCUGAGUCACCCAUGGUUGGUAAAAUACACUGUAUGAGACGUGUAACUGAGGAAGACAUUCAUUAGCAUAUAUGCAUCUAAUUAUCGUUAUAUAUUUAAAGUAUUGUUUGAUACUUGAUAACUUGAUUGUGUGACGACAUAGUUAAAUGUAACUAAAGAGGUUUGGCCCUACUAAGCGUGAGCUCAUCCCUAUAUACUCUUAUUCAGGUUCAUACAAGGACACAUAUUUGUAGAAGACUAACUGUGACGUUUAGUUGACGUGAACGAGAGUCGAGAAGGACUACCGAAGUUUCUAGUGAGCUAAACAACAAGACUAGUUUUACCUUUAUAGUGAGCUAGACUGCAAGACUUGUUUUGUCUUUAUAAUCGGUUUUGUUUUUUGUAAUCGUUUUAUUUUCGACUAUUUCGAGAAAAAUAUUUAAAAUUAUUUUAUUUUCUUUUAUUUUUCCCGCUCACGCCUCGGAUUCGGUGUUAAGUGUUUGGAAACCACCGACACCGGGUCAGGGGUGUGACAAUUUUAGUCCUUGGUUUGAUGCCUAAGCUACUUCGCUCCUCCAAACUGGGCCGGUGUUGGAUCAAACAAACAGAAACUUGAAAGAAGGAGUCCGAUACAAGUCAUACAACUACGUUGGUCGGAGCGGAUUUUACGCAUCAAGGUGCCCUUGCACCAUUAAUCUGUAAGUUUUUAAAUCUUCGUAUGCAAAGAUUUAAUGAAGACUAGAGACCUUAAAUUCUUUUCUUUCAUUUUUAUUUUUGACCUGAUCAAAUUAAACGCCAAUAAUUAGAGUACCUCUUAUUCAAUCUCAUGUCCUCAUCUCUUGUGUUGAAAACACUUUUGAUUAUUUUUUUGAGUUUUAAUUUUGUUAAUGGUAUUAAAAUACAUGCAUGAUAAUGCGACAUAGAUGAUCGGAUCAAAACAUUGCGUAUUAAUUGCUCGAUUCACUUGUAGAAGAAUUUUCGAGCUUCGGGCCAAUAUUCCAUUUUUCUUUUUAAUAAAAAAUUCUAGCAGCUAGACAGCUAGUUAACCAAUUGUGAAGCUACACAACUGGGACUUGCAGCGGAAAACAACUACCACGCGUUGCAUGGAGAGGUUAGGUCCUGCAUGCAACUCCGCCGCCCGUAAAUCUCCUACUGACAGCUCUACCCCUCGAUUUGCAGAUACUGAUGUAAAACCCGAGGACAAAACGGUAAUCGUUGAUACUCCGAGCCAGACAUAAAACUAUCCAAGAACAAAGAGGAGACACCACAGGAAAAAUGACCGGACCGCCUCUACCUCGACCCUUUCUAACGUGCUUGGUUGGUGUAGCAGUCUUAACCUGCGCACUAACCUUCUGUGUUGCCCUAGAUGUCACCCCCCAAGACCCAAUCAUCCACCAAGUCACAGACCAUGAUACUAACAAGCUCCUUGGAACCGAGAAAGAGUUCAAGAGUUUCAUGGAGAAGUAUGAGAAGAAGUACCCUACUAGGAAGGAGUACAUGCACCGGCUAGUUGUUUUUUCCAAGAACAUGAUCAGAUCCGCCGAGCACCAAGCUCUGGAUCCGACGGCGGUUCACGGCGUCACGCCGUUCUCGGAUCUGGAGGAGGAGGAGUUCGAGAGGAUGUACACCAUUCCUCGAAAAGUUAAAGUAAUCUUUUUUAGAAAUCGAAUGGAUUCGGUCUUAUACAUACGCAAGGAAGGUAAUAAAAAAAAAGAAAGAUGAGUUCUUUUAUCACUUAGGAGCUGUGCGAGAUAAAAGUCUCAUGCACGGUUUUGAAUGAGAGAAAGAAGUGAGGAAUCCUUUUUUCGACACUGACUCUCCCACUCCAGUUGUUGCUUUUUUUUUCUUUUUUUUCUGUUACUUCAAAAGUCGUUGCUUCAGUUUCAGCCACUCGAAUUUUCGAUGUUCUUUUUUAUUUCUCAUCAAACGAAUGGCAUUUUCUUCCUAUUACUCAAACAAGCAUGAAACGUAUGCUUGCGUAUUCGUCCAUAGGUCAAAUUGGAUAUGUAAUUAUUGGAAUAAUUGUUGGAGACUCAAAUGGUGGAUAUGUAAGCAUGAUAACUUAUAUGUUGUUCUAUAUCUCUAUGAAUCUAGGAACUUUUGUUUGCAUUAUAUCAUUUGGUUAGAGGUGCGCCCGGCUUAACCAACGGCGGAGGCGGUACGGGGAGCACGGUUGAGCUUCUGGAUGUUAGCGGGUUGCCUGAGAGUUUUGAUUGGAGAGAGAAAAAGGAGCUGUUACUGAGGUCAAGAUGCAGGUAGUUUCUAAUUUUCGUUUUAUUUCUGAUUUUUUAGGUUGGACACACAAUAUAUGUGAUUAACAGUUUCGGCCGUACUUAAAUCCUAGCUUUUUGCAAAUCAAGUUAUGGCACAUACGAUAUAGAAGUCUCGUAGCUGGUUGUAAAUUACUAAAUUGUGUAAUCUGAAGUCGAUCAGCUGAUCAGGUGCUGCUGGUUCUUUUGUUUAAUUGAUUGUAUAACUAGCUUGACUUUGAGAGUUUGAAGUUUUGUACAGAAAGAUUUGUCUAAUAGAGCUAGGGUGUUUGUGGAACAUGGAAUUAUUCUUCAGGCAAGGAGUUGUAUUGUGAUACUUAAAGCCUCUAAAUCUCUUGUUAUGGAUGCAGGGUGGCUGUGGGUCGUGCUGGACCUUUAGCACAACGGGAGCUAUUGAAGGAGCCAAUUUCAUUGCCACUGGGAAGCUUGUUAGUCUCAGUGAACAGCAGCUUGUUGACUGUGAUCACCAGGUAAUUAAGCCUAGCCUCUCUGGAAUAUAUUGAAGUACUCAUUUAACUUUAGGGCGAUAAAAAUUUAAUUGAUUGAGCAUAUAUAUAAUAUUUGGCAUGCCUACUUAAUUAGUUUCGUUUAAUGUUUGUGGCAACUAUAAUCAAGUGUGAUGCAAAAGAGAAAGAUGCAUGUGAUCGUGGUUGUGGUGGCGGACUUAUGACAAAUGCCUACAAGUAUCUAAUGGAAGCAGGAGGGUUGCAAGACGAGGUUUCAUACCCUUAUACGGGGAAAAAGGGCGAAUGCAAAUUUAAUCCUGAAAAAGUAGCCGUGAGAGUAACCAAUUUCACCACUAUUCCCCUUGAUGAGAAUCAGAUUGCAGCGAACUUGGUCCACAAUGGUCCUCUUGCCAGUGAGUACUAAACCUGAUAAUAUGCUUAAAAAUAGCUAGGCUUUUUAUGUAUCUAUGUGUGCGUACAUAGAACUGCCUUAAGUGUCUUAUUUUCUGAAUAUGAUGUGCACUGUUUAGCAUAUUUAGAUCUGAGUGUAGAUACACCCCACUGAUACAGAAUCUUAAUUGAUGUAUGUAUGCGCAGUUGGCUUGAAUGCUAUGUUCAUGCAAACCUACAUUGGCGGUGUGUCAUGCCCUCUUGUUUGUUUCAAGAAAUGGGUGAACCACGGUGGUUCACUUGUUGGAUAUGGUGAGAGUGGCUUCUCGAUUCUCAGGCUCAGCAACAAGCCGUAUUGGAUCAUCAAGAAUUCAUGGAGCGCAAAAUGGGGAGAACAUGGUUAUUACCGACUUUGCCGAGGCCAUGGCAUGUGUGGGAUGAAUACCAUGGUGUCUGCAGUUGUGACCAGUACGCGGGCAUCCUAGCUGCAUCUCCCGAGAUUAGCUAGUAUAUAAUUAUACACUAUAAUAUUAUAUGCACCUCUCCCUUGUUUUUUCUUAAUCCGAAUUUGAUGUUCCUAUAAUCAUAUUUCAACAAUAUUAUUGUUAAUAUGCCGAAGUGGAAAGUCUUGUUUACGUCAAAACCAAUUCGAACUAUAUUUUGUUAGCUUUAAAUGCUAGAUUGUCAGACUUCAAAUUUAAGUCGGAAAAAUUUUACAAUAUGUUAAUGCAUGUUAUGCAUCAAUUUUAUCCUAAAAUUGUAAAAUGAGUCUCUAAAGUAGUAAUAUUAGUCCUUGAAGUUGUAAUAUAUACGAGUAGUUGUAAAUUUUAAAGUUACAACAUUAGUUAUCAUGUGUCCUUAAAGUAAAUUUUACAGUUACAACAUUAGUCAUUGUGUCUUUAAAGUGAUAAAAUGCGUGCUUAAAGUGGUAAUUGAAUCCUCAAAGUGAUUGAAAAAGUUUUUAUAUCUUUGAGGAUUUGUAUUACAACUUUGAGGAUUUGUAUUACAACUUUGAGGACUCAGUUACCUCUUUAAGGACACAUAAGGAUUAAUAUUGUAACUAAUUUUUUUACAACUUUAAAGACUUAUAUUACAACUUUAAGGACUAGCUAAUAUUACUACCGUAAGACUCGAUCAUUUUAUAACUUAAGAGCAAAGUUGAUACAUCACAUGCAUUUUUUUUUUAUUGGUUAAUGAUCGAGGAUAGGCGAAUAAUCACCUAUCACUCUAUGUUAUUAAUAAAAGAAAAAAGAAACAAAGGAGGGGGAUCAAAACCAAAACAUCCUAAAACAAAUGACAGACUAGCUGAAACGAAAUUGAGGCAUACCUCUAACAUCGUUAUUAUAAGACAAUAAUAUGAAAGGUGGAGGCUCAUCCCACCAUAUCAAUUCAGAGCAUGACGUACCUUGAUUUGCCAGAGCAUCAGCUAUCUUAUUCCCUUCACGAAAAAUAUGAGUAGCCUUGAAAUUCAUUUUAGAGAUUCGGUAUAAGCAAUUCAACCAACGAACUCGAAGAGGCCAAGGAACAAGAGAAGGUCUGCGAAUAUAAUCAAGUACCAAAGAUGAGUCAACUUCCAACCAAAUAUGCUUCCAAUCACGAACCCAAGCAAGCUCAAUAGCUUUAAUAACAGCCAUUAUCUCCGUUGAAAUUGAACUAGGAAUUUCAAGAUUAGAGGCAAAAAGCACCUAGAAAGUGGCCCUUGUAAUCUCUAAAAAUAGCACCAUAACCACCCACUCCCUCUUCAUGCUUCCAAGAGCCAUCAGAAUUUAUCUUCACCCACCCAAGAGAAGGAGGAAUCCAAUUAACUUCAACCACUCUAGGAGUGGCACGAGGUCGACAUGGGGCUCCAAAACAUUUCAAAAUUCGUAGCUCCUGGACACUGUUAUGCAUAUGACCCGUUGUAAGAUGACUAGUGGCUCUUAUAUGACUUGAUAUUAGCUUGCAAACAACUUCAACUGAAAAGCGACAACCAUCAAAUCUGGUUUUAUUUCUCACAUGCCAAACAAACCACAAAAUGGAGGUAAAGCAAAUAAGCCAUAAUUCCAUUAAUUGAGGACUUCUUCCAUUCUGCAAACCCAACCCAUAAAGCUCCAAAAUAGAAGAAGGAAUCAUACCUAACUCAAAAAUAGAGCCAAAGUGACAGAAGAGACGCCAACGGCACCAACACCCAAAGCCAAAGGUAAAGUGUUCGUCAAAGGACUCCACAAUUCCAAGAAUGCUUUCCAUGUGCUCGUGCAAUAAUGGUAAGGAUAUCGAGAGACGCCAACGGCACCAAAUAUUCCAGCUUGAUUCAAUACGCCUUCAAAAUUGGCUAAUAUGAAUUCUGUCCACUCCAUUACGCCUAUCUCAAGUGUAGCACAACCCCGGAAACAAAGGCUCGAAGACCAAUCUUGUUUGGUGUUUAGCAUCCUGUGAAGUAUCGGGUAAAAAUUCUCUUCGAAAGUGAAAAGACCUCCAUCAUGUCUGUUAUCAACCUUCUCCAAAGUAUGCCCCUUAAAUACAUGGGAAAAGUUGUGGGUUGUUCUUAUCACUUGAUCCUCCAAAUCUUGGCGAAAUGUAAGAAAGCCUGAGUUCAUUUCAACUUCUGUCACCAAGGUAAUGAUGUCUUUAGGAGGGACAUCAACAUGAAUGGAGCUUAAAGGCUGUGAUCUCACGUACUCUAUGCCCUUUCCAACAACCUGCCUGUGUUUGUCCAAAGCUGCCUCGCGGGAAAUUCGACCAUAUGCAUCCAUUACCUGAGAUUAUAGCACGCAGAGAUGUUAAAAGCAAGCAAUAGCAAGUCAAGCUUUGCGCGAGAAAAGCAAGUUCCACGUACAAAGCUUGAGGGGGCACUGUUGAUACCAAAAAAAAAGGAUUACAGAAAAGGAAAAAAAUAAAUAAAAUAAAUAAAUGGAAGAGUAUUUAUUCAUGUCAUACUCUUCCGUUGGUUUUGAUUACACGCACAAAGCUUUUGAGUUCAAUUACAACUCUUGCAAGCAGGUGCUUGGAUAAGAACAAAUCAGUACGAGCACCAGAGUUUGAUUGUAACUCAAUUAUCCUAACCAAGCACUCUAUAUAAAGAGGCCAAUACCUUCAAAAAAAAAAAAAAAANAANNNNNNNNNNNNNNNNNNNNAACACCAACGGGAGGAGGCAGGCGGGCAACAAGGAGGAUCACAAAGGAGCGGUUCAUUCUUUACAAGGUUCGGAUGGAGAGUUCUCUUUCUCUUUGCGCAGCUCUCUUUAUGUUCUGUUGAUGGAGGCAUCACUGCCUUCAUAUUCCUCGCAGAUGGCCUCUGGUGUUCUUGGUUACUAUUGUUCCUGGUCACCCAAAUCCCUUGCGGAUCGAUCUGGUUAUUAUAGUUACUGUGUUCUGUUGGUUACUUGGUUACUACUGUGUUCUCUUGGUUACUUGGUUACUCAAAUCCCUUGUGGAUCGUUCCUGGUUACUCGUUACUUGGUUACACAAAUCCCUUGCGGAUCGUUCCUGGUUACUUGUUACCCUAAACAUUGGUUACUGGAUACUAUGGUUACUGGAGACUAAUGGCUACUAUGGCAAUGGUUCUAUGUUACAAUGGUUAUAUGACACUAUGGUUACUAUGAUUCUGGUUCUAUGGCUACUGUAGCACUAUGGUUACAAUAUGGUUCUGGUUCUUUGGGUACUUUGACACUGGUUACUAUAACAGAUCGGUUGCCCUUUGAUCCUACAAAACCAAACACAAAACCAAUACUCAAAAUUCCACCACAAAAGGCCAUUGUUGUCCCUGUUCCCUGUUAACCACCACAGCCAAAUACCUUUCCAAAUUCCAUGUUUCAAGCACCAACUCAAAUACUGUGCAAUGAAACUAAAAGAGACAAUAACAGAGGCUUACCCUCAAACUAUGACAAUCGAUCUAUUCCGAUACUACAACUACUACCUGUGUUUCAUACCUUCAUGCUGUAGCAGGAAUGGUGAUGAUAUUGCAAAAAGAGAACAGCAAGUUCCUGUCAAGUUAACCUCACAAAAACAUCCGAGCAAAGAGAGUCAUUGAUUCUUUGGCUCUGUCCCUUUAAAAAAAACAAAGGGGGCUCGGUGAGUUUUCUCAUGAUUCUUCUCCAAUAUCACAAGAUGACAAGAAUCAAGCUUGGCGGUGACCCUCCCAAACAGAGAAGGCUUACUCAAACAUAAAUAUGCAUUCACCACCAUGGAGUAAAACAAAAGAAGCAAACUUAAUUAAACAAGUUUUGUUUCUGGAAGUUCCAAGGCAGCGAGCCGAAUACACCCACAGUCAAAUAAAUUGGAGCUAAGAAGUUUAGAGUCUCAAAGCAAAAGACGUGUUCUUCCUCAAAUUAAAGCCUGCAAAUUGAAGCCUGCAGCAAAAUUAACCUACUCGAAGCUAAGCUCAUCCAUUCGACGCUAAGCUAAUCUACUCGAAGUUAAGGAAGCGAAGGAUAAUUAAUUUUGCCAUUGAAGAAUUGUAACAAAGCACCUAUCCAACACAAGGCAGUAACCAAAUUGAACGCUACCUGUGAAGAAACAAGCUUUUGACCAGUGGGAAAUCCUUCGAAAUUACUCUGAAGCAUAAUGGAGAUACUUUCGUCAUGAGGGUAUUUGAAUUGUAGGGAUGAAAGCAGGAACACAAUAGGGGUUAUCCUUACCCAAUUUCGCACAGUGAGAAAGAGCACAGCAAAUCUCAAGCCUCCCAGUGUUGAUAAAUUUCUUCUCGGCGACUUAGGAGCACUGCCAUCACCAAGUCGGUUGCUGCGCCAACCCCUCUCCAUUUGAUCAGUUUCGGCCUUCAAGUUCUUCUGGGUUACAAUAAACAAGGCAGCAGAAGAUCAAAAGAAAGAAAAGAAAUGAAGAAUGGGGAGAGGGAAAGCUAACGGGCCUCCACAUUGACGGAUGCUACUCACAAGCAAGGCCCAUGUCAAAUUUGGGCCCAUCUGAAAAGUUCAACGAGGCUCAAUAUAUGGGUGUUCAAAUCAAAAUACCCAAACUUCGGUUUCGUUUAAAAAUUCUUCGGAACCCGAAUGAAGUUGCGUUUGGUACAAAACCAAGAAAUACUCAAAUACCCAAAUUUUUGAACUACAAUGGUUUGAUCCCUUCACAGGGUAUGUAGGCAGUCCAGAUUUAAAUCUGGAUAUAACCACAUUUAAAGCCAAAUCGUUGGUUCUUUCCAAGCCAAAUUCUAAAACACAUAACCAAACCUUUCGACAAGUCAUCUACUUCGUCGAAACCCCAAAAGCCAUAAAACUUGAACUACGAGUGACUUGAUCCCUUAUGGGGUACGUAGGCAGCCUGUAAAACAAAUCGGGUGCAGUCGCAAUUCCCCUCGAACACACAUUCCCCAUUUGUUACUUUGUAAUUAGAAUCAAAGGGUCUUCCCCCGAAAGCAAGGGUUGUAAUUAAGAAAUUUAUUUUAUUUCGAAUGGGUCGAACCAGACAUAAUUAAAACUCUAUUUUAAUCAAUGAGAUAGAGUGAAAUUGUGUUGGGUAUAUUUAUUUACAAUUUUUGCUCAACAUAGUUUUUGGCGACUUCACUGGGGACUCUCAACUGGUCAUCAGACAAAUAAAUGACGAGUAUGCAGUCAAAAAUGAGAACCUUAUAUCAUACUACCAAAGAGUUAAAUAUCUCCUGGGACAAUUUCGAGAGAUAUAUGUUGGCCACAUUCCAAGAUCAGAGAAUGAUAAAGCAGACGCAUUGGCUAACUUGGCAGCUUCUUUAGUACUUCCUGAAGAGAAAGACAUCCAAAUAACAGUUGGAGAACGUCGAUUGCAGUCCUACGUCACUUGAACGAAUGGAAGCUACCAAUGAAACAAAUGUAGUUUCUGUGUUCGAAACUGAGGAAGAAUCUGAUUGGCUCAAAUUGAUGCAGUGAACGAGCAAGAGAGGAAAGUAUGAUUCAAAGUCUCCGAGCAAACACCACAAAGCUCACAUCUAGAAACCCAAGGAAUACCUCGACGCUGAAGUAAAACAUCAGAAAUAACUCUACCUCUUAACACCUUCCAUGCUAGGAAAGACAUUCUUGGCAGAAUAUAUUUAGCCCAUAAUCUCUUACCCCAAAUUACUGGAUUAGAAGAAUGCCGCAUAAAAGUAUAGGCUUGUUUUGCGGUUAACUCAUCGGAGGCUGAAGAGGUCCAUAUAAGUUUGUCAUUAACUGAAGGAUCUUCUGACACAGGGACUUGAUUGAUCAUACCACAUAAGGCUGGGUAGUGCAACUGUAGUAAUGGAGGAAGAUUCCAUGAACCAUUGUCUAUAUAUUUUGACACCAAAUCCGAGUUAUCCUGCAUCAACACAUUAGAACCAAAGAACUCAUUUAUUGGCCUACCCAUAAACUUGUCGCGCCAAAAGUAAAUUCCAUUCCCAGAACCAAUGAACCAUUGAGAAUUAUCUUGAACAGUCUUCCAGAAUUGACGAACACCAGGCCAUAUAGAAGAAGGAGCAUAAGAUUUCCGUCUAGAGAAACGAUUGCGAAUAAAAGCACAACCCUCAGAUUGAGCUGUAUAGAUUUCCCAGCAACGUUUCAAUAAGAGAGAUCGAUUAAGCAGAACUAGUUGUUUGAGCCCCAAGCCACCUUCUGCAAUUGGGGAACAACAAGACUUCCAAGCCACAAGAGGGAUCCCUCUUUUAUCAAUUGAGCCAGACCACAGAAAGUUUCGGCACCAUACCUCAAUUUUUCGCACCACAGACACAGGCCAUUCAUAUACUUGAAAAAUGUAUACCAACAUGCUAAAAAUAACAGACUUGAUAAGCUGCAAACGUCCUGCCAUUGACAAAAAAGAACUCACCCAACUCGAUAACUUUAUCCUUAUUUUGUCAACAAUCUGAUGGAAAUAAGAAGCACGAGGUUUGCCAUGAAAAAUAAGGGCACCCAGAUACAUGAAUGGAGCAGACCCCAAGGGAAUACCCAAGAAGUUCGAAAUAGAAUGCCGCCUUGAAUGUAUACUAUUUCCAAUAAAAACCUGAGACUUCCCUUUGUUGAUAACUUGACCUGAAACUCUACCAUACUCAUCGAAGAACCGCAUAAUCCGCGAUAAAUUCCGCCUAUUGCCCCGAAAAAAAACAAUAACAUCAUCUGCAAAUAGGACAUGAGAUGGAGCAAGAGUAUUUCGUGGAGAAGAGAUACGCUGCAGUUGUCCCGAUGAAACAAGUAAAGAGAUCCCACGACUAAGGACUUCUUCUGCUAAGCAAAAGAGCAAGGGAGAAAGAGGGUCACCUUGACGCACACCCCUUUCACAAGAAAAAUACCCCACAGUCCUCCCAUUAAUCAACAGAGAAAGCUUGGCUGACAGAAGCAAGGCACGCACCCAUUGUACAAAGAUCGGAUCAAACCCAAAAGCCUGAAGAACAUGAAGAAGAAAAUCCCAUGACAGAGUAUCAAACGCCUUUGUAAUAUCAACCUUAAUUGCAAGGUUACCCCCCAUGACAUUUUGAGUUCAACAAAUUAAAGCACUCUGAAGUAGUUAAUAUACAGUCUGAUAUGUUCCUCCCUGCAACAAAAGCAUGCUGUUGAGGAGAAAUAAUACGAGAUGCCACUGAUGCCAACCGGAUAGCUAUGAUCUUUGGGAUAAUUUUAAACACAAAGUUGGUGAGGGCAAUAGGCGAAACUGCUUUAUGGAGUCGGCAUGAUCAACUUUGGGGAUUAAGAUGAUAAUACCUGAGUUAAAGGAAGGAGCCAAAUAACCAUGUUGAAAAAAUACUGAACAGCCUUAACAACAUCAGCACCAACAACAUCCCAGCAAGAGACGAAAAAAUGGCCAUUAAAUCCAUCUGGCCCCGGGGCACUAUCAGGAUCCAUUGAUUUGACAGCUGCCCAAAUUUCCUCUGAUAAUGGAACACUAGUAAGCAUCGUAUUUUCCUCAGGAGUUACCAUAGAGUGAAUCACUUUGGACACCAAGCCACUAUCUUCAUACUCUGCAUGUUUAGUAAAAAGAUUUUUGUAAUAAUCAACUAUAUGAUUUUGGAUAUAAUGAGGAUCCUGAAGCACCUGAUCUCCAUCACGAAGCAGAGUAAUAGAAGAACGAUUUCGGCGCACUUUACACAAAGCAUGAAAAUAAGAAGAAUUACGAUCACCUUCUGAUAACCAUCGCAACCUUGACUUCUCACGCCAAAGAAUUUCCUGAUGCAGAAUAGACUCAUUCAAAAUGGCCUGCAAUUCAGUCUCUUUUUCAAACUCUUCAUCUGAUCCCCCAGAAGCUGCAAUUUUAUUUUGAAUAUCAGCAAGGGCUGCAAGGUCAAACUCAACCCGACGGUGAACAUCCCCAAAGACCUCCCAGUUCCAAGUACGGAGAGAUUUCCUUAAGGUACGCAGCUUAUAUUGCAGGACAGAAUAAGGACAACCAAACGAAGUAGUAGAGGACCAACAUCCUUUGACAAAACUCAUAAAAUCCUUAUGCUCCAACCACAUUUUUCUAAACCGAAAGAGACUAAAACGAGACCCUGUAAACUUAGAAAAGGACAUUAGUAGUGGAUUAUGAUCAGAGCAAGUUCUGGGUAAGGUGCAACAGUCAAACUGAUCCCAUUCCUCCAUCCAAUUCAAAUUAGCAAGACUUCUAUCUAAUCUUAGCUCCACAUUACCACGAAAACCACGCCGUCUCACCCAUGUAAACUCUGCCUCUUUAGUAUCUACAUGAAUAAGUUCACAAACAUCUGACAUUGUCUGAAAUUCCUCACAUGAUCGCCGACAUAGAGGAGCACCUCCUUUCUUUUCAUGAGCACCAAGAACUGCGUUAAAAUCUCCAAAAACCAACCAUGGUCCUGUAACAAAACGACCUUUGAAAUCAGUAAUAUCUUCCCAUAACUUCCGGUGGCCAGAGAUUGUGGUACGAGCGUAGACAGCUGUAAGAAAACAGUUUACCGAAUCAAACAUAACUUGUAAAGAAACCUGCUGAUCCGAGGUAGACAACACCCGAAUCCAUGGAGCCAGAGAAGUCUUACAAAAAACCCAUAGAUUAGGUAAUGCAGAACCCCGGUCAUUUGCACCAACAAAUCGCAUGCCUAACGAACGCCAAAAGAAUAGAGGAAUUGAAGUCAAGGCAACGAAAGGCUCAGCUAUACAUAAAACUUCCAGGUUGUGAACCCGUACAAACUGUUUCAAAGCAUCUUGAGUGGGGACAUUAGCAAUGCCCCGUAUGUUCCAAUAAAGAACCCUCAUUUAGGAGUGUCUUUGGAGCGACGGAGAUAGGCUUCCCUAUUCUCCUUCGAAGCAGCCUUCCUCUUUUGAGACCUGGACAUAACAACAGUAAAACCAUCAUCAAUGUCAACUCGUUCUGUCUCCUCAUACCAGCUAUCAAUUCGAGUUACUGAAUUUGCAGCAACAGCAACCCCAAUGUCAGAAGACUGCUCAUGCAUACUACCACCGGCAGAGUCAUCUUCACUAUUCUGCUCGUUCUGAUCAAUUGCAUACCUAGUAUCAUCUUCUUGCUCAACCACAUUACCAUGGAUAGCUACUGGUACCAAAACCACAUUCACCCCCGGCUCAACCACUUCUUGGACAGGUGCCACCACUUCCACUAGCGGUUCCGGCACAACACUAGAUAUCACUAGUUGGCCGACCGGUGCUGGAGACUUCUGCACAAAGGAAGGACCCUCACCAAAAUCUUCCCUGGGGUUUGGAGUUGAAUCAAUAAUCAUGCUCUUACCUCGAUCUGCUGGAUUAGAUGGGUUUUUAGGCACAUACACUUUGGAGACUCGUUGCUGAUCACGGUUCCUGCGAGAUCGUCUACUACGCUUGCGCGAUCGACCUCUGCCUUUCUCAGUCUCAUUAUCCAUUGGAACCGGGUCAGAAGAUCUAUGCACAUACUUGCAAGCUGUGACAAGGUGCCCAACGUUGCCACAAUGAGCACAAAUAUGUGGAAGCUUCUCAUAAUCCACAGUCUGAACAAAAGACGAACCGCACUUACGCUUGACAACCAAUUCAUGCGGUGGAUCAACAGAGAGAUCAAUAUCAACCAAUAUUCUAGCAAAUAGGGUUCUAGGUUCCCAAAACUCAAGCCCUAGAUCCUAAAACCUCACCCACACCUGAGCAUUAGUAUUACGUUGAUUCGCUGGGGAGAAAUUUGGAACCCAUCGCAUGAAACGCAAGAAGCCAGGCUUGAGAGCAAUUGCACCCUUUACCCAGACUGUAGAGAGAUCCUCAUCCGUAGAGAAGCUAAACGUGAAAUAACCUUUUCCCAUGGGAAUAAUCUUCCAAGCCCCUAGACUUCCCCAAAGAAGAGAAAGCUUAUGAGACAGAUCUGAUGCAGAGUAGGGUUUAUCCCUCAAACCCAAUUGCACCCUUCCGAUUAACAUAUGUUUACAAUUAUCCAAACCCGAUUGAUAGCCCUCUUCUGAAAUAGUAACAGUUGUCUUGCCAUCUAAAAUCUCAGGAAUAGGUAGAUCAUCAAUUGGGAUGAAAGCUUGCGCCGCCGCCGCCGCAUAAGAUUUCGUCGGCUUCGCAGCCCCCUCGUCGAGAAAAGACCACGGGCAGAAGGGACGAUGCUGAACAGCCAUGACGUCGUGAAGCAAACGGAACUCGAAUUCAAGGAUUUACUGCAGGGAGGCUCCAGCACGGGGAAACCCUAGCAGAGCCAUCACCAACAUAAUGUAACUCGAUGCAUCACAUCCAUUAACACACUAUAGUCUUACCUUUUAAGUUGAGUCAAUGCAAGAGUUGCACUAUUUAGACCAUUUGGUUCUUCCGAAAAUAUGUAUUAUAUUUUUGAGAAUUUCAACGUCUGUAGUAGAGUCGACGAGGAUUUUAGAUUUGAUUUCGUCGAUGGCGUUGUCGAGCUAUUGCGUCAAUAGGAUGAUGAAGAGCAACCGGAAUCACCUCUCUUCUGACGCAAUUUGUUUUUCAAAGAUCUGGUCCGUUGCACUGGCCGGUCGAAGCCUUUUCAGUUCUCAAAACAGUUCAGAAACUACAGGUCUGAUAAUGAAAUGCAUAAAACAUUUAUAACUAUUGGUAAUUUAUAUCCUAGAGUUGUUCGAGUGUACUAACCACAGGAAAUAACGAUCUAGCUAGACUACCUUAUUUUCGUUAGGGCUGCUCUAAUUAGUCAACAUAUGCAGCUAGGUGAUGAUAAACUUACCCAAUUCGUUGUGAAAAUAAUUGAACCAUCAGUAGCCGUGAUAGUCCUUACGUACCUGCCCUUUCAUGAGCCUUAAUAUUUGGUGGCUUAUUAGCUACGCACUAAUGGUAGUUAAUUGUGCUUAUUUUGUGCAUGUGUGUUCUAAUACAAUUACCUACCUAGUUCUAAUUGUUCUAAUUCGUCGUGGAAUGUUUUCAGAGGAGAAAACUGAAUGGGGUAGCAUAGAGCCCUAUUACAAAAUAAUGUAUCUAUAACCUUCUCUAAUUUACAUAGUAAUUGACGCAAUUUGGCCGAACUGUUUCUGAACACACUGCUUCAGUUCUUUAUAAACCACGUACCAUAUGUAUGUAUUCAAGUGUCAGAUAUACUGAACCUACAUCGCCAAAAUGGAGAGAAUUCAGGUCAGUAUAAUUUCCAAACACACCGUCAAACCAUCAGCUUCCUCUUCACUACUUCGGGAUUGUCUAUGGUACAGCGCUGUAUGCCAUACAUCCUCUAACAGGACUUGUGUGCACGUGCCUUGCAGUGGGGGUGGGUGUUUUGUUUUGAAAUUUUUAGCCUUGAAAGCAGGCUGCAUAUCAUGCAGGGCUGCAGAUAGAAUUUUCCCUGAAUAUCACGCAUAUCAGCGCUGCAUGAUAUGUAUGAUUGUCUAUGGUACAACGCUGCAUAUCAUGCAGCGCUGCAUUAAAGCAGACUGCAUAUCAUGCAACGCUGCAGGAUAUGCAGCCUGCUUUCAAGGCUAAAAAUUUCAAAAUAAAACACCCCCACCUGCAAGGCACGUGCGACACAAGUCCUGUUAGAGGAUGUAUGGCAUACAACGCUGUACCAUAGACAAUCCCACUACCCUACUUCAGCCUUACAAGCUUACCCUGCUCGACCAGCUCACUCCUCCAUCGUAUGUCCCCAUGGUAUUCUUCUACCCCAUUACUGGCCCUGCAGUCUUCAAUCUUCAAACCCUAGCUGACUUAAGACAUGCCCUUUCCGAGACUCUCACUUUGUACUAUCCACUCUCUGGAAGGGUCAAAAACAACCUAUACAUCGAUGAUUUUGAAGCCGGUAUCCCAUACCUUGAGGCCCGAGUGAAAUGUGACAUGACUCAUUUUCUAAGGCUUCCAAAAAUCGAGUGCCUAAAUGAGUUUGUUCCAAUAAAACCAUAUAGUAUGGAAGCAAUAUCUGAUGAGCUUUACCCCUUGCUUGGAGUUCAAGUCAACAUUUUCGAUUCUGGGAUAGCAAUAGGUGUCUCCGUCUGUCACAAGCUCAUCGAUGGCCGAACGUCAUACUGUUUUCUCAAGUCCUGGGGUGCUGUUUUUCGUGGGUGUCGUGAUGAAAUCAUACAUCCUAAUCUCUCUCAAGCAGCAUUGCUUUUCCCACCGAGAGAUGACCUGCCUGAAAAGUAUAUAGCUUUGAUGGAAGGGUGGUCGAUUGCCGUAAAGAAAGUUGCUACAAGGAGAUUUGUAUUUGGUGCGAAAGCCAUAUCUGCAAUUCAAGAUGAAGCGAAGAGCGAGUCCGUGCCCAAGCCAUCACGAGUUCAGGCCGUCUCUGGUUUUCUCUUGAAACAUCUUCUCUCUGCUUCUCGGGCAUCAUCAUCAGGUAAAUCAGUUUAUGUGUCUUCUUAAAAGUGCACCACAUGCAAUUGCGUGAUUGGCAAAGGAGGGCUAGGCGUGAUUAAUUAAGCUAGAGAAGACAAGGUUUUUCCAUUAAUUGUUAGUGAGGCUUGCUCAAAUGCGAGCGUACAAGAGUUUUCAGUAGCUUUAUUUCUGCUGCUUAGGUUAUACCGGAUUUGUUUUGUAAGUUAGAAAAAUACAACUUAUUGGAUAUUGUUAUAAGCAUCUAAUUAAUGAUAUGAAUGAAAAAGAAAAAAGAUCGUACACUUAACAUUUUUCUGCUAUUAUUUCAUACUUAUUUUAUAUUUUUGUAUUACAUAUACUGUACAUAGCUUAAAAAUGAGAAAAUAUAUGAACUUUUGCAGGUACUACUUCAACAAAACUUUCUAUAGCAGCUCAGGUAGUGAACUUAAGAUCACAGAUGAACAUGGAGACAACGUUGGGUAAUGCCAUUGGAAACCUGAUGUGGUGGGCUCCGGCCAUACUAGAGUUAAAUCAUAAAGCACGAGAGAGCAGCGAUCCUAAGCUGUGUGACUUGGUUAUCUUGCUCAAUGAAUCUGUCAAACAAUCUAACAGUGAUUACUUCGACACUUUCAAGGGUAAAGAGGGAUAUGGAAGAAUGUGUGAGCAUCUAGAUAUGGAGGGGACUGUAAGUUCUGUAGAACCAGCACCAGAGAUAUAUUCAUUCUCGAGCUGGACUAGAUUUUUCGACCAAAUUGAUUUUGGAUGCAUGGGGGAGGUCAUCUUGGAUUGGAGUUACCGGAAAACAAUCUGCAUAUUGGAAUUCCACAGUUUUAGUACCAACACAAUGUGAUACUGGAAUUGAAGCGUGGGUGAAUCUAGAUGAAGAGAAAAUGGCUAUGCUAGAACAAGAUCCCCAGUUUCUAGCAUUAGCAUCUCCAAAGACCCUAAUUUCAAGGUAUUGAUUAUGAAAGAUUAUGUGGCUCGUGCAAUGUUUCCAUUUGCAGUGAAUAAGGAUUAAAUUAGUUCCCCGGCCAAUUAAUAAGAAGCAAGGUAUGAUAGACUAUGGCUACGUAUGUUAGUAUGUUAUCCGAAUGUGCUUCGUUAUGCUUUUAACCAAUAUAGCUCUGUUUUGUAACAAUGCUCUAUUGAGCUUCUAACUAUAGAGUUAUUUUUCUUGAUUAGAAAAAGAAACUAUGCAAGUUUUGUUUUGUUAAGCUAUUCUGUUUCUAAAAGAAAGGCUAUUCUGUUUCUAAAACGGGAUGCAUGUAUUACCUAAAAAGAUGAUUCACCUAUAAUUAUUUUUCAAGUAAAUGAUUAUUUGAUAGCAAUCACGCCGUGUAUUUCUAUAGCUAAAAUUGUAAUUUAGAUCAGUGACAACAUGAUUAAAAGUUACAUAUUCUGAUACAUUUGUUAUUUAACGACAAGUGUGGCCAUAAUGCCUCACCUAGUCACCUAAUGCGAAGACCUCUACGAGAGACUAAUGUCGUCUGAUCUUCUUUUCUUAAUCAAAAGAAACGAAAAUGGCCACAAUGCCUCACUAUUCAUAGAACCAUACAAUAAUUUGGAACAUAUGCAUGGAUGCAAAGAAAAAUAACACAAGAACCAUCAUAAUUUCACAUUAUAUGAGAAACUUAGCCAAAUCCGAAUCACAUCCAUGUUGGCCAAGAGUGACUAAAGAAGACCACCCAGAAAGCUAGAAAACCAUAAAAUCCAGAAAACUUGAAUAAGCUAGGGAAAAAACAAAAAUGUGACAUUCCAUUUCUUCUUGCGGUUUUGUUAGGCCAAAUCAAAAUCUCAAUGACCCUGCAAUCAUUUACACACACUCUUUCUCAAUCUCUGCAAAACUGACUGCUUCCCCUGAAAACUUGCGCAAUAGGGUACCUAGCUCUCUGGCCUUUUCUUUCUAAUGCACAAUUUAUGGCUUUUGGUAAUGAUGAUUUUAUGCUUGUGGAUCUCAGAUGGGUUUGUUUUGUUUUGGGAUUUUUAUAAAUGAAUGCAUUGAAAAUGUUGAAAGCUUAUGCCUUUGUUCCUUGGUUCAGUGUUCUGGUUUUGUGUACGUACGAGAGUUGAAAUGUGAUCUCUAGUAUCGGUAAAGAGAAAUGUUCUAACCAUGCUAGUGUUAGUAAUUUAUCUUCUAAAGUUGUUUGAGUACUUUACUCUCUUACUUUACUAACUAAGCAUAGGAAAUAACGACCUAAACUACCUGAUUUUCGUUAGUGCUUGUAAACACGAAAAUUCCUGUAACGAAUAACAGAAAGACAUGUGUACAAAAUAAUAUAUUUGUAUUGAUUGAAUUUGCGGGUUACAAUCUCUAUGGGUAUUCUUUUAACAAGAAUGUCCUCUGAUUCGAUCUCCGAUGUUGAUUUGAUCCAAGGGUGACAAGCACUUGAUCUUGAAUUGAACUGUUGUAGUUUGAACUUCUUAUUGUGUUGACGAUUUGUAGAAGGAAGUUGACCAAGGGCCAUAGAGGCUUGAUCUUGGUCGAAUAUGGGCCGCGAGAGGUGUCACGUGGUGAACGUUCUUCGACUUGAUAGCGGAUGAAUCGGCACGUGUGUUUGGUACUUGUUGAUUCUCCACGAGGUUGUUGAAGAACUUGGUAGAAGUUUUGAUUUGUUGAAAGACUUGAAGACGAGGGUUGAUCAAGGGCCGUAGAGGCUUGACGUUGAUCGAGUUUGGGCCGAGCAGUUCCACAUGGUGGUUGCUCUUCGUCUUGUAGUUGGUGAAGAUGUCAGCUAUUUGGCAACUUGGGACUCUUCGGGAUUUGACAACCUAUAGGCUUGAGGUUGAUGAAGAAUCAACUAUUUGGCAGCUUGAUGAUUCUUCAAGGGUUUUGGGAGAAUUCUAAACUCUCGGGAGUAAUUUUUCUCUCUUGUCUGAAAGUCGUCCUCUUGAUAUGAGAGGGGGUAUUUAUAGUGUUAAUGCUCCUCCGUAAAUGGAAUGCAUUGAAGUCACAGCUUUAAUUAUAUUUCCUUAAUGAUAUAAUUAAAUCAAUCACUUUUGAUUGAUUGAUUCAAUUAUUCAAUUUCCCAUAAUUAAAUCAAUCAGUCUUAAUUGAUCGAUUUAGUUAUGAUCGAUAAGGUAUUUCACUAAUUUGAUUAAAUUCCGACUUCCUUUUCGAUAAUUGAUUUGAUUUGAUUGAUGUUUGAUUAUCGAUUGACAUUUAAUAUUUUAUUUUAGUUGGGAUUGAUGAUUUUGUUGUCGACCGACCAUUCACACGCCGCCACGUGUUAUUUUCGAAGACUUUUCAACUUUGCUGACUCACGAGCCACGUAUGCACGAGACUUUUCAACGUCUCUAAUUUACAUAGUAAUUGACGCAAUUUGGCCGAACUGUUUCUAAACACACUAAGCUUCAGUUCUAUAUAUACCGCGUACCACAUGUUUCAUCAAGUGUCAGAUAAUACAGAACCUACUUCGCCAAAAUGGAGAAAAUUGAGGUCAGUAUAAUUUCCAAACACACCAUCAAACCAUCAACUUCCUCUUCACCACUUCAGCCUUACAAGCUUACCCUGCUCGACCAGCUCACUCCUCCAUCGUAUGUCCCCAUGGUAUUCUUCUACCCCAUUACUGGCCCUGCAGUCUUCAAUCUUCAAACCCUAGCUGACUUAAGACAUGCCCUUUCCGAGACUCUCACUUUGUACUAUCCACUCUCUGGAAGGGUCAAAAACAACCUAUACAUCGAUGAUUUUGAAGAGGGUGUCCCAUACCUUGAGGCUCGAGUGAACUGUGACAUGAAUGAUUUUCUAAGGCUUCCGAAAAUCGAGUGCCUAAAUGAGUUUGUUCCAAUAAAACCAUUUAGUAUGGAAGCAAUAUCUGAUGAGCGUUACCCUUUGCUCGGAGUUCAAGUUAACAUUUUCAACUCCGGAAUAGCAAUCGGGGUCUCCGUCUCUCACAAGCUCAUCGAUGGAAGAACUUCAGACUGUUUUCUCAAGUCGUGGUGUGCUGUUUUUCGUGGUUCUCGUGACAAAAUCAUACAUCCUAAUCUCUCUCAAGCAGCAUUGCUUUUCCCACCAAGAGAUGACUUGCCUGAAAAGUAUGCCCGUCAGAUGGAAGGGUUAUGGUUUGUCGGAAAAAAAGUUGCUACAAGGAGAUUUGUAUUUGGUGCGAAAGCCAUAUCUGUAAUUCAAGAUGAAGCAAAGAGCGAGUCCGUGCCCAAGCCAUCACGAGUUCAGGCUGUCACUAGUUUUCUCUGGAAACAUCUAAUCGCUACUUCUCGAGCACUAACAUCAGGUAUGUAAAAUCAGUUUAGCAACAAGCCAAAUACUAAAGCAACUAAAUAAAAACCUAUUGUAUUUGGGGUAGUCCCUUAUUAGCUGUUGUCCUAAACUUCUAACGAUAUGAACUUUUUUCUCAAAAGAAAAAAAUAGUACACUUAACAUUUUCUGUUAUAAUUUCAUACUUAUUUAUAUAUUUUUAUUACAUACAUAGCUCAAAGAAUGAGAAAAUAUAUGAACCUGCAGGUACUACUUCAACAAGACUUUCUAUAGCAACCCAGGUAGUGAACAUAAGAUCACGGAGGAACAUGGAGACAGUGUGGGAUAAUGCCAUUGGAAACUUGAUAUGGUUCGCUCCGGCCAUACUAGAGCUAAGUCAUACAACACUAGAGAUCAGUGAUCUUAAGCUGUGUGACUUGGUUAACUUGCUCAAUGGAUCUGUCAAACAAUGUAACGGUGAUUACUUUGAGACUUUCAUGGGUAAAGAGGGAUAUGGAAGCAUGUGCGAGUAUCUAGAUUUUCAGAGGACUAUGAGUUCUAUGGAACCAGCACCAGAGAUUUAUUUAUUCACGAGCUGGACUAAUUUUUUCAACCAACUUGAUUUUGGAUGGGGGAGGACAUCAUGGAUUGGAGUUGCAGGAAAAAUUGAAUCUGCAUUUUGCAAUCUCAUAACAUUAGUUCCAACACCAUGCGAUACUGGAAUUGAAGCGUGGGUGAAUCUAGAAGAAGAAAAAAUGGCUAUGCUAGAACAAGAUCCCCAGUUUCUAGCACUAGCAUCUCCAAAGACGCUAAUUUCAAGAUAUUGAUUAAGGAAGAUUAUGCGGCUCGUGCAAUGUUUCCAUUUUGUUGUGAUUAAGGCUUAAAUUAGUUCACCAGCCAAUCAAUAAGAUGCAAGUAUGAUAGACUCGGUCUACGUAUGUUAUCCGAAUGUGUUUCCACAUGCUUGUAACCAAUAUAGCUCUUGUUUGUAACAAUGCUCUAUUAAGCUCUUCUAUCCAUAAAGUUAUUUCUCUAUUAAAAAGAAAACUAUACAAGUUUUGUUAAGUUUUUAAGGUAAGAUGCAUGUAGUACCCAAAAAGAUGGUUGACCUGUCAUUAUUUUCAAGUACAUGAUUAUCCGAUACAAUUACAUCAAAUAUUUCUAUAGCUAAAAAGUAUGUAAUUUUGAUCCGUGACAACAUGAUUAAAAAGUUAUAUAUUAUGAUGCAUUUAUCCUCUAACGACAAGCAUGGUCAUAAUGUCUCACCUCAUCACCUCACCAAGCGCGGAUCCAGUUCACAAGUGGGUAAGGCUCAAGCCCAACCAAGAAAAUUGGGGGAAAAAAAAACCUAAGUAUAGAUAUAUAUUUUUUUGGGUGAUAUAUCAUAUAUGCCCAGCCAUCAAGUGACCAAGCCCAACCCACCUAACUCAACCCAUCCCACUAACUACCCAAGUCCACAAUCAUCACUCAUCACUCAUCCACCCAACCUCCUUCAUCGAAGGAGUCCUUUAACUAAUCAGCUUAAACACCAAGUCUAAAAGUCUUCCCUGCUCUUCCCCUCCGCCUCCACUCAGUCACUCACCUAUGACCUAUCCCGGCUAUCCGGCUAUCCCUCUUCCCCUCCAGUCCUCCACGGCUCCACCAUAAUCUCCUUCUUCCCGGCCUCCUCCGGUCCUCCGAUUCCUCCCGGAUAGCGACGACUCGCCUCCGGCGGUCCGGACCUCCGCGGCUCCGCCUCCAGUCCUCCACUCACCUAUCCCUCUUCCAGCUGCUAGAAAGCUUGUUCGAGACUUGGUCCUCCACAGACAACCCAUUAGUCCAUUACCCAUCUUUCUUCACUCUCAGCCAGCAUGGUUGUACUAGAAAUUUUUUUUUGGCCUUCGGCCAAAGUUCAAGCCCACCCCAUCUUUAAAUCAUGGAUCCGCCACUGCACCUCACCAUAGUGUCCUAUCCUCUUAGGAGAAGGUAGGCACCUAAUGCAAAGGCCUUUAUGAGAGACUAAUAUCGUCUGAUCUUCUUUUCUUAAUCAAAAGAAAUGAAAAUGGCCACAAUGCCUCACUAUUCAUAGAGCCAUACAAUACUCUGGAACAUAUGCAUGGAGACAAAGAAAAAUAACACAAGAACCAUUAUAAUUUCACUUUAUACGGGAAACUUAGCUAAAUCCGAAUCAUGGGCGGAGCCAACCCAGGUGAAAUUUUGAAGCCCAAAAAAUUACCUGAAACAUCGUCGUUUGGGUGUAGGUUAUUUCUCCGUUUACUUCUUCUCAAUCUUAGUCAUAACUCACACCAUUGCGUCCGUAGCCCGUCGUUGUCGCUAGAGCGGUCGCCAUUUCCCAUAGCCCGCGCCGUCGCCCGUAGACCACAUCCCGAGUCAGUCAGUCCCCACUUGGCUACUUCCCCAGGUAUGGCUCAAUCGGAUUGCUUAUAUUCUGAUCGUGGACAUAGCAGGCUUCAAUUCAAAAGCCAUCAUAUUCAUAUGCUUCAAUGUUGCUUUACUUCGUCUAUAACUAGAGUUUCAGCUUUGCUUCGUCUUCAAUGUUGAUAUGUUGAUAUAAAAUAUUAACUUGAUUAGGAUUUGUUGAUAUAGAAUAUUACCUUGAUUAGGAUUUGUUGUUAUGUAAUAUGUAUUAGGAUAUUUAUUACUCAUAUUAGGAUUUGUUAUAUGAUCUUACAUCCUUACGAAUGAAUAUACAUCAACACAAUCGAAAUCUGCAUGGUCAUAUUAGCCUUAACUAGUUCAGUCCAAUUCAUAUUAGUCUUAAACUAGUUCAGUCUAAUUCCUCAUGGGUAUAUGCUGAACUUUAAGAUGUUGAUCUUCUAUAAUAACUGAGUUCGAUACCAGAAAUCUUUGAUGAUUGUCCACAUAUGUUAUCUUAUAAUCCUAUAUUAAUUUGUACUAAUCUCAUAGUCUUAAUUUGAAAGCUCCUUAUACGUCUUAACUUGGAUAUGGAUGUGGAUUUGAUCUUAUUAUAUGUAAUAUUAAAGUGAAGUUGUUGUAUUACACAGAAUGUUUGAUGAAUAAAUAACAAAUUGAUCGCGUCAAAAGGCUAGAUCAAAAAAUUUCUUGCACCAUCGAACAAAUUUUCUUGUGUAUACAAUUUCAUGGUUCCGCCACAUUGGCAACAAAGAGUGAUUGGAAAAGAAGAACACCCAGAAAGAUAAAAACCAUAAAACUUGUUUAAGCGAAAAAAACAAAAGUAUGCCAUUCAUUUCUUCUUGCGGUUUUGUUAGGCCAAAAAUCAAAAUCCCAUGAUACCCAAUCAGUUACACACUCUCCCUCUCAAUCUCUACAGAACUGACUGCUUCCCCUGAAAACUUGCGCAAUAAGGUACCCAUCUCUCUGGCCUUUUCUUUGUAAUGCAUAUAAGUUCCUGUAAAUUUUAAAGCUUUUGGAAUGAUGAUUUUAUGCUUGUGGAUCUCAAGAUGAGUUUGUUUGUUUUUUUCGGGAUUUUUAUAAUGAAUGCAUUGAAAAUGUUGAAAGCUUAUGCCUUUGUUCCUUGGUUCAGUGUUUUGGUUUUGUAUACGAGAGUUGAAAUGUGAUCUCUAGCUUGACUGUUGGUAUUGGUAAAGAGAAAUGUUCUAGAAAACCAUGCUAGUAUUAGUAAGUUAUCUUCUAAAGUUGUUCGAGUACUGUACUAAGCAUAGGAAAUAACGACCUAAGCUACCUUAUUUUCGUUAGUGCUAGCUGCUAUGAGAAACUUACCCAAUUCGUUGUUAAAAAUAGGGAAAAUACCCAAAUACUCAAAAAUUAGAAAGCUAAAACCCAUUCCAAUGAAAUUAUAAUCCUUUAGCUCAUUCCUAUGUUACACCGAUACUCCACCCCACGGACACUCCAACACUCCCGACACACCGAUAUCGAUACGAUACACCAAAAUGUGUGUCCGACACGCCACGUGGCGUGUCAAAAAAAGUUGACUUUUUAGACACGUUACGUCAGCCUGAGACACGCCAAGUCAGUGUGUAUUGAUUGAAAAAAAAAAAUACAGAACUAAAAGUCUAAAACCUAAUCGAAGAGGAAGCCCACUUUAAAGAAGCCGCAUAGAAGAGGAACGAUGUCACCGUUCACUAUCACUGCGAGAACGACGUCGUCUGUCCAUGUCAGUGUGAUUGUUCCUCCGAUGACACCACUCUGCGAGAACGACGAGAACAGCGUCGCCUUUCUCUGUUACAGCGACUCGUCCUCCGUCGGCCUAAACCCUCUCUUUAGUGUAAGGUUAAUCUUAAUCUCAGCUUUGACGUGUUUGGUGAUUGCAGUCUCAUUUGCAGUAACAGAAAAGCAUAUAAGAUUUUAAUCAUUUUAUGAUCAUUCUGAUACCACUUAUAGAUUUUUAAGGCAAUGUGCUAUUGAAGCAUCUGCACUGUGAUGUUAAGUGUCAUGAUAUUGCUCAAUUGCUGAUAGGGUAGGAUGGAGCUAGACAUUUGAGACUUUGCAAAAUUGAGUUUAUACCUACUAGUAUUAGAUCAUCAAUUAGUUGAGAGUUUGUAGGAGGUCAGGUUUUAUACUUGGUGAGAAACAUCGGCUCAUCUGUAUUUGUAAGGAAGAUUUAAUUGAAAGGAGUUGUGUAUGGAUUGCUUAUUUGUUUAUCUUUGCUCUGUUAAUUGUUAAUAUGUUAUGAUAUGCUGCUGUGUCUAUGCUGAUGUGCUUAUGCUACUGUGUGUCUAUGCUACUGUGUCUAUGCUAUUGUCUUAUGUUGUUUUGUUGGAUUAUUAUGAUUAGGAUGAGUUCAAGUGCGACAUCUACUGAACCUAGUGUUGAAUCAACUAAGCCUGAAAAAUUAGAUGCUCCUCUAUCAAGGAUAAAGGAUGAUGCCAAUGCAUGCGUGCCUUGCUCUUAUGUAUUUUGAAUAUCUCAGUUAUGGGGUUUUAGGCAGUUGGUGUUAUUAUAGGGUUAGGAAAGUCGGAUUUUCAUUCAGUUUGAUGAAUGUGUUGAAUUAGAUAAAACUAUUUAGUAAUCAUCCUUUAGAUUAAAUAUUGACUCUCUUUUAUGUUAUUUGUUACAGUUAUGCAAUUGCUUAAAUUUAGAGCAUUAUUUAAGCAAUGUGAUAAAUUUAUUCAUAUUUGAGCAUUUUUUUAUUAAUUAGAAAUAUACAAAUAAGUAAUUAUAUUUGCCGUGUCUAAGCCGUGUCGAAAAUGUAGUCUUUGAGUUUUGCCGUGUCGCCGUGUCAGUACGUAUCGUGUCGCCGUAUCCGUGUCCGUGUCCAUGUAACAUAGGCUCAUUCCAAUGAUUCUUAUGCAAAAGACAUUAUUANNNNNNNNNNNNNNNNNNNNCUCUCUCUCUCUCUCUCUCUCUCUCUCUCUCUCCUCUCUCUCUCUCUCUCUCUCUCUCUCUCUCUCUCUCUCUCUCUCUCUCGGUGUACGACGAUGCAAGGUUGAAGACGCAGCCUCCUACUGAGUCGACGAGACCGCGCUCGUGGUCGUGAUUCUCCUCAACAGCGACAUCGAUUUUGGCGGCACCUCUCGGAGAUGAUCCUCAUCUGCCAGAACCUCUGCAACAAUCUCUAGAGCCCUAACGAGCACAUCCGGGGCGUCACGCUCCAGUUCCUCUACUGGUUGAGCAAGUUGGAGAUUGUCCGGCCGUUGAUUUCAUCGAUUUUGGCCAAUCUAGUCAGAGAUUGAGGUCUGUGUUUAGUGCAAACAUGGAUAACGUUCUUCUUCUCCUUUUUUUAUCGGAGAUCGUGUUUUUGUUUUUGUUUUGGUCAGAGAGAUUGUGGUUUUUUCCCCUUUUUUUUUCAAUAUAAUGGUUAUUAAAUGAUAGUAUCUUGAUUAUUGGAGUAAUUAGUCUAUUAUUGGGAGGUAAGAAGUAUCUAGUGGAGGUCAAUAAACAUUUAUUGACCCCAAUAUUGCUUUUAUAAAUUUUUUUUGAGAUGUAGGGAUUUGCCUUAGAGGUAAAAACUUCCUUUUUAACUCGAUUACUAGGAAUCAUUAACUGAUUAUUGAGGUUAAGUAACUGAUUAUUGAGGGUCAGUAAGUGAUUAUUGGGGUUCAGUAACUGAUUAUUGGGGGUUAAUAACUGAUUAUUGGGGGUCAUUUUGAGAGUCAGUAACCGAGUUAUUGGUGAUCAGAAUCCAGCAACCGGAAAAAAUCUGAGUUACUGGGGGUCAGUAACUAAGUUACCGGUUAUCGGAAUCAGGCGACCGGAGAAAAUAUGAGUUACUAGGAGUCAAUAACGGCGACCGAAGAAAUUUCUGGCAACCGGGGACCGGAAUCCGGCGACCGGCAACCAGAGUCCGGCGGCGGGUGACCGGAGUCCGGUGAGAUUCCGGCCAAGUAUUCUCUCUCUUCCACUUUCUCUCUCUAUACAUGUUGAAGUGGUGAGAGUAAAAUUGUCUUAAAAAUAUAUAAAAAUUAUUUUUUAUUAUAACAUUAGUAAAGAUUUGUGCAUAAAAAAUGUUACCUUAUAUUGGAAUGAGCUCAUGAAAAAGAUUAACAUUAAAAUGGGGAAUAAGAGGUUUAAAUUAGUAUUAAAUUGACAUUUUCCCUUUAAAAUAAUAACAGAACCAUCAAUGCCGUGAUAGUCCCUUAAUAUUUGGUGGCUAAUUAGUAAUGCAUUCAUGGUAGUUGUGCUUAUUUUGUGCAUGUAUUCUAAUUCUAUCACUUGCAAAAUCGUUGUGGAAGGUUAAGAGGAGAAAACAGAAAAUGGGGCAGCAUGCAUCUCAUUUUAUUUCCGAUCAUAUUUUCAUAUCAUAGACGUUCACUAUUUAGAUAUACAUGAGUUGAUCAUCUCUACAAAAUUUCAACUAAUUUAGUUAUCAUUAAGGUAUCGAAAAUGUAUUAAAUCAAUGAACGAACCGAAUCUGUUCAUCCUGAACUGUACGUUCUAUUAGUUCUAAAUCACAGUUUUGAAUGUCUUAAUGAUUAUCAACUUGGCUGAAAAUUUAUAUAGAUGAUCUACUGAUAUAUAUACCUAAAAUAUGAACGGUUGAGAUGAGAAAAUAUGAUCGAAAGUGGGACAAAUAAUGAAAUCCGUACCUUAGAUAAGGUAAGGAGGUCCUUACCUGAUCAAGAUUGUGUGUGUGUGUCUAUAGAGUUUAGGGUUUAGAGUUUUAGGGUGUCAUGAAGAUAUCAUACAUCCUAAUCUCUCUGAAGCAGCAUUGCUUUUCCCACCGAGAGAUGACUUGCCUGAAAAGUAUGCCGGUCAGAUGGAAGGGUUAUGGUUUGCCGGAAAGAAUGUUGCUACAAGGAGAUUUGUAUUUGGUGCGAAAGCCAUAUCUUCAAUUCAAGAUGAAGCGAAGAGCGAGU
rnacentral:lncRNA from 1 species